UUUUUUCCAUAUUUGAAACACACGCCAUUCAAAUCCCUAGUCCAAGAAUGAUUUCUGUGCAAGAAAAAGAAACCCCCCUUUGCACAAACAAACCCUCUCUCUCCCCUUUCUCUCUCUCUUGGGAGUUGGUUACACAAAGCAACAAUAAUGGCCUCCUCAAGCUCUCCGAAAUCAAAAGCUGGCCCUUCUUGAUUUCUUGUCAAACAAAGGAACCCAAGUCAGAAAAUCGAAAGCCCAGUUCGAAAAAUCGAAUCUUUUUUAGGCUUACAUGAAAUUAGAGUUGGUGGGGUGGUGGAGCAUGUGAGGAACUGCGUAGGGGAUGUGGUGGUGGUGGUGGUGGUGGUGUGGAGCUCCCGAGUCAGACAAAGCUGCUGGCUCACCGACUCUGUGACUCGCCAUGCAAACUCAGUUUCAGGCCAUUCUUUUUCUUCAAGGUGCUGAUUUUCUUGUUUUUGUUUUUGUUUUUGUUUUUCUGAGGUUUUGGUGUGUUGAGGGAUUUGAAGACAGAAGGCCACUUUCUUGAAAGAUGGACACUUGAGGUGAUCAGCAAAAGAUCAUAGCUUUCUUGUCUAAAAGGGAUUGAGAAGGUCUCUCUCUCUCUCUCUUGAAAUGAUUUACUACUACUACAGUUUUGAGCUUUUGGAGGGUCUCUAUCUAGCUUUCUUUUCUCUACUUCUCUAUGAAGAAAUCAAUCUGAUUAUUCUCUUUGAUAA